rnacentral:rRNA from 1 species
AUAUCAAUAAGCGGAGGAAAAGAAACCAACAGGGAUUGCCUCAGUAACGGCGAGUGAAGCGGCAAAAGCUCAAAUUUGAAAUCUGGCUCUUUCAGGGUCCGAGUUGUAAUUUGUAGAAGAUGCUUCGGGUGUGGUCCCGGUCUAAGUUCCUUGGAACAGGACGUCAUAGAGGGUGAGAAUCCCGUAUGUGACUGGGUACCUACGCUCAUGUGAAGCUCUUUCGACGAGUCGAGUUGUUUGGGAAUGCAGCUCAAAAUGGGUGGUAAAUUUCAUCUAAAGCUAAAUAUUGGCCAGAGACCGAUAGCGCACAAGUAGAGUGAUCGAAAGAUGAAAAGCACUUUGAAAAGAGAGUUAAAAAGUACGUGAAAUUGUUGAAAGGGAAGCGUUUAUGACCAGACUUGGGCUUGGUUAAUCAUCUGGGGUUCUCCCCAGUGCACUUUUCCAGUCCAGGCCAGCAUCAGUUUUCCCCGGGGGAUAAAGGCGGCGGGAAUGUGGCUCUCUUCGGGGAGUGUUAUAGCCCACCGUGUAAUACCCUGGGGGGGACUGAGGUUCGCGCAUCUGCAAGGAUGCUGGCGUAAUGGUCAUCAACGA